rfam:Pristionchus pacificus strain PS312 contig2475, whole genome shotgun sequence.
GGCUGAGUGGUCUAGUUGUAUGAUUCUCGCUUAGGGUGCGAGAGGUCCCGGGUUCAAUCCCCAGCUCAGCCC